CAAGGUGUGCGCACGAGGCGCCCGCUGGCAAUGGCGGGGGAGGGGGCAACGUAUGCGCACAAGGCCCCUGCGGGCAAUGGCGGGGAGGGGUGAAAGUGUUCGCGCGAGGCACCUGCUGGCAAUGGCGGGGAGGGGGCAACGUAUGCGCACAAGGCACCUGCUGGCAAUGCCGGGGAGGGGUGGAGGUGUGUGCCCGAGGCGCCUGCUGGCAAUGGCGGCCGAGGGGGCAAUGUACGGGCACGAGGCACCUGCUGGCAACUGCGGGACAGGGGGCGCGGUGGUAGGGUGGGGGGCAGUGCAGUUAUAGGUACUGGAUGAGAUGCCAGCACAAAAGACCCGGAACCCUAACGAACUGGCAUGGCAAGACACGGGCACAAGGCACCUGCUGACAACCGUGGGAAAAUGGAGGGACUGGCGCACCAGGCGCCUGCUGGCAACCGUGGGAAAAUGGAGGGGCCGGCGCACAAGGCACCUGCUGGCAAACGCGGGAAACUGGAGGGGCCGGGGCGGGGCGCGCGAAAUAGAUACUGGAGGGAGAGGCACGCGCACAAAGCACGCGAGACAUUAACGGUUCGGUGCGGCAAGGCAUGCGCACAAGGCAUCUGCUGGCAAUGGCGGGGAGGGGUGAAGGUGUGUGCGCGAGGCGCCUGCUGGCAAUGGCGGCGGACGGGGCGAUGUACGGGCACGAGGCACCUGCUGGCAACUGCGGGACAG
rnacentral:lncRNA from 1 species